rnacentral:rRNA from 1 species
GACGAACGCUGGCGGCGCGCCUAACACAUGCAAGUCGAGCGGAGAUAUUUGAAGGAAGUUUUCGGAUGGAAUUUGGGUAUUUUAGCGGCGGACGGGUGAGUAACGCGUGAGUGACCUGCCUUCCACAGGGGGAUAACGUACCGAAAGGUACACUAAUACCGCAUGAGACCACAGCACUGCCUGGUGCAGGGGUCAAAGGAGCAAUCCGGUGGAAGAUGGACUCGCGUCCGAUUAGAUAGUUGGUGGGGUAACGGCCUACCAAGUCAGCGAUCGGUAGCCGACCUGAGAGGGUGAUCGGCCACAUUGGAACUGAGAGACGGUCCAAACUCCUACGGGAGGCAGCAGUGGGGAAUAUUGGGCAAUGGGGGAAACCCUGACCCAGCGACGCCGCGUGAGGGAAGAAGGUUUUCGGAUUGUAAACCUCUGUUCUUAGUGAAGAGGGAAAGACGGUAGCCAAGGAGGAAGCCCUGGCUAACUACGUGCCAGCCGCCGCGGUAA